rnacentral:misc_RNA from 1 species
CAACCCUCAAGCCCUGCUUGGCGUUGGUGGCCUACGGCGCGCACAGCGCCCGUAGCCGCCCAAAUCCAUUGGCGGUCCCGCUGUGGUUCCCCUGCGUAGUAAACUCACCUCGCACCGGUCCCCAGGCGGCGGCCUGCCGUAAAAACACUCUAUUCAGUACAA